GUGGGGAAUUUUGGACAAUGGGCGCAAGCCUGAUCCAGCAAUGCCGCGUGCAGGAAGAAGGCCUUCGGGUUGUAAACUGCUUUUGUACGGAACGAAACGGUCCUGGUUAAUACCUGGGGCUAAUGACGGUACCGUAAGAAUAAGUACCGGCUAACUACGUGCCAGCAGCCGCGGUAAUACGUAGGGUGCAAGCGUUAAUCGGAAUUACUGGGCGUAAAGCGUGAGCAGGCGGUUUUGUAAGACAGGCGUGAAAUCCCCGGGCUCAACCUGGGAAUUGCGCUUGUGACUGCAAGGCUAGAGUACGGCAGAGGGGGAUGGAAUUCCGCGUGUAGCAGUGAAAUGCGUAGAUAUGCGGAGGAACACCGAUGGCGAAGGCAAUCCCCUGGGCCUGUACUGACGCUCAUGCACGAAAGCGUGGGGAGCAAACAGGAUUAGAAACCCGAGUAGUCC
rnacentral:rRNA from 1 species